rnacentral:tRNA from 1 species
GGGAGCAUGGUCUAGUGGUAUGCCUGGAUCGCCUACAUGGCGGGACAGUGCUCGAUUCGCGCUUCGGGUGCGCGAGGUCACGGGUUCGAUUCCCGUUGUUCCCC